AGUUUUAAACCUAAUAAUUAGAAGCCCAACCGAAAUGAUAAUGUGAAGGAGCCAGUGAGGAGUCAUGCAGUUGACGGAGAUCAACCCGAUCAUCGAAACCACAAUUGAAUCAUGGAUGAAGAAGUAGCUGGGUUCUGAGAUCGCAGACUAGAGCAGUGAUUGCGGAGACCUGAAGCUUCUUCUAUGUAAUCUUGAGUUGCGUUCUGUCCACAACAGAUAAAUCACACAUUGCCAAGCAAUCAGAAGAAGUUUUUUGUAAGGACGCAAGUUGAUGAGAUAAGAAGAAGAGGUGAUCGCGCGAUUCCGACGCAGCAUUGCAGAGUAAACAAGCAGGAUCCGUAGUGAGCCCCCAAUUGAGUAAUCGGUCUCUAGUUGGACAUUUGUUAAGAACAAAGAGCCAAGAGAGGAAGUUGUGUUUAGGAAUUCCACCUUUACACCAGAUAAUAUCAAACCAAGGCACCAGAGGAGCGUGAUGCUUCAGCUGUUUGUAUAUAGCACUGGUGCUGUAAUCUUUCCAGACCACCCCGUCUACCUCCCAUUCUUGCCAUUUGCGUUGAUGUCCUUUACCAUCGCAUUUGCAGGGACACCCAUUUUUCUAGAUAUCAAGCUUCUAGACUACCAAAGGGAGUCCAAUUGUCUGUCCAAAAGCGGGUUCUCGCUCCAUUUCCAAGCUUGACUUUCACCCAAGGAAAUUGCUUAAUGACCCAUCAAGCACUUCCUUCUUGUACUAAGCCACCCAAAGAGAGCCAGAGUUACAGAAUAGGAUCCAGAUUAGUUUGAGAAUGCACGCCUUGUUCCAAGCCACCAGGUCCCUACAGUUCAAACCGCCUCGGCCUGUUUGUUUUAGGCCUUAUUGUAUUAUCAGUUUGCUCUAUGUUGGGUUUUUGUUUAUACUUUCAGUUUGAAUAAUAUUAAUAAUAGACGACAAAAAAAAAAAAAUCACUGAAUACUGAAGAUG